rnacentral:rRNA from 1 species
UUUUAUGGAGAGUUUGAUCCUGGCUCAGGAUGAACGCUGGCGGCGUGCCUAAUACAUGCAAGUCGAGCGAACAGACGAGGAGCUUGCUCCUCUGACGUUAGCGGCGGACGGGUGAGUAACACGUGGAUAACCUACCUAUAAGACUGGGAUAACUUCGGGAAACCGGAGCUAAUACCGGAUAAUAUAUUGAACCGCAUGGUUCAAUAGUGAAAGACGGUUUUGCUGUCACUUAUAGAUGGAUCCGCGCCGCAUUAGCUAGUUGGUAAGGUAACGGCUUACCAAGGCGACGAUGCGUAGCCGACCUGAGAGGGUGAUCGGCCACACUGGAACUGAGACACGGUCCAGACUCCUACGGGAGGCAGCAGUAGGGAAUCUUCCGCAAUGGGCGAAAGCCUGACGGAGCAAC